UAAGAUCUAGACCUUUUCAGCCAUUUCCAUCUAGGAUUGAAAACAAAAAAAAACCUAAAAACCUAGAACUAACCUAGAGACCUAAAAAAUGAUAGCAGCCGCAGAACCUGGGGGGAACACCUGAAGAUUCUUCUUCUUUGAAGCAAAAACCAAAGACCCUUAGCUUCUUCCUCUACACACCCUAACCUUCAGCACCUUCACAACACACAGACCCUUUAGCCACCCCAUCUCAAAACCGCCAAACCAGCCACAUGACAACUCUAACGUCUCUAGCUAGUAGCUCACCAUCGCCGCUGGACAGACCACCCCUGAAACCAGCUACCCCAAAACACUAGAAGCCACCGAGCUAGACCUCCUUCGUCUCCAUCGCCAGUCAUCUCUCCAAGAACAGCAUAGCAGCAGUCGUCCUUCUCUACCACCCAGCUCGCCGGAGAACAAACAAAGAGAACGAGAGUGAGAGGGAGAGGACAAGGGUUUUAAUCCUAAUUUCUCGACUUUCCUUUUCAUGAUUUCAUUUUUUAGUUCAUAAAAAAAGAAACAAAAAAAAUUUUGUUUGUGCUUUUGUUAAAUUUGAAAAAAAUGCAUUUUAGUUUCUGAUUUUUGAUCGUCCCUCAUGGGGUUGAUUUGAAUUCUAGGUGGAGUUCUGAUUGCCAGUUCGAGGUUUGUCGUGGUCGAAUUUGAGUUUGUCGAAUUUCAGUUCGUUGGUUUUAUUGCUGAUUUUCCGUCGCUUAGCAUUUUCAAGCUAUCAAACAAUCAUAUUUCAGAUUUGUUCAAGGUCUAUUUCUCCCUUUACUUUAUUAUUUUGCCUUAGUUUCAUGUAUCUGUGUUGUUGAUCUUUUAGUUAAGUUUUUAUUGUUGUUUGUGGUACCUUGAUAAUGUUUUUGUACGUUCAAGGUUUAUUUCUCGCUUUCCUUUACUAUUUUUCCUUAGUUUCAUAUAUCUAUGUUAUUGAUAUUUUAGUUAAGGUUUCAUUAUUGUUUGUGAUGCUUAGUAGUGUUUGUGUACCUUUUUAUUCUGAUAUUAUUUG
rnacentral:lncRNA from 1 species